rnacentral:rRNA from 1 species
CCUACGGGUGGCUGCAGUGGGGAAUAUUGGGCAAUGGGCGCAAGCCUGACCCAGCAACGCCGCGUGAAGGAAGAAGGCUUUCGGGUUGUACACUUCUUUUAAGAGGGAAGAGCAGAAGACGGUACCUGACUAAGAAGCCCCGGCUAACUACGUGCCAGCAGCCGCGGUAAUACGUAGGGGGCGAGCGUUAUCCGGAUUCACUGGGUGUAAAGGGAGCGUAGACGGCCGUGCAAGCCAGGAGUGAAAGCCCGGGGCCCAACCCCGGGACUGCUCUUGGAACUGUGCGGCUGGAGUGCGGGAGGGGCAGGCGGAAUUCCUGGUGUAGCGGUGAAAUGCGUAGAUAGCAGGAGGAACACCGGCGGCGAAGGCGGCCUGCUGGACCGCGACUGACGUUGAGGCUCGAAAGCGUGGGGAGCGAACAGGAUUAGAUACCCCUGUAGUC